GAGAGAGAGAGAGAGAGAGAGAGAGAGAGAGAGAGAGAGAGAGAGAGAGAGAGAGAGAGGAGAGACAUAGGAGAGAAAAAGAGGGAAAGUGAAUUUAUGAGAAUGUGAAAAUUGAUGAUAAAUUUGACGAACAUAUAGAGAGUGUCAAAAGUGACAGAGAGAUAGAAAUAAAUAGAGAUAAAGAUAGAGAUAUACAGAAGGAGAGAGAAGGAGAGAGAGAUAGAUAAUAUUAGAGUGAAAGAAAGACAGAUAGAAGAGAGAACCGGCGUGCGUAAGCACGCGUCGAAGAAAGCACAGGGGCGGCCAAGGAAGGCGCGCGAGAGCUCUGCUCUGUUAGUCGGCAGAGGAGUAGGGGGCGGCGGGGCCAAAGCUGUCACUUCGAUCGCCAUUUUAGCGUUCGAGGCGGCGAGGAGAGCGCGAGAGCCGGGCAUGCGGUGCCGACGACGGAUCGGAGCGCCCUGCUACCGGACUUAGCCACCGGAUAACACAGAAACUUUCCUUUUCUUUCUUUUCUUUCGUCAAGGAAGAUAGGACAGAACACAACAAACGAAGAGGAACGAGCCCAGCCGGUACGAAAAAAAAAAAAAAAACAAGGAGAAUCCGGCAAGAAGGUAGAAGAUAGAAGAUCGCAGCAUCAUUGGUAAAGCGACACUGUUCCUCUUCUUUUCUCGAUCUCUUUCUCGACGAAGAGAAAAGAAGAAACGUGGAGGAAUUGAAGAAGGUUCGCUAUGCUUUUGCGUGUUUGAACGGUUCGCUCGCGCGACUCGGAACGAUAUAGUUAGAUAGAUAGCUAGAUAGGGUAGUUAGAUAGAUAGAUAGUUAGAUAGAUAGAUAGUUAGAUAGAUAGAUAGAUAGAUAGAUAGAUAGGAUAGGUAGAUAGGUAGAUAGAUUAGAUAGAUAGUCGUCGUGUCGCGUGUGUACUUGCUUUGGUGAGACGAAGAAAGAAGAAGAAGAAGAAGAAGAAGAGAAAGAGGAGGAGGAGGAGGAAGAAAAAUAAAGAAAAGCAAAAGACGGAAAGGAGAAGCCGUGACCCCCGAGAAGAGAAGGAUAGAAAGGUCAAGUCGAGGAGGUUAAAGCCGUUGUCCUUCGAAGAUCCUCCUUGGCUACUGCGAUAGAAGAGAAUUUACGUUAACAUGAUGCCAGCAGAAUUAGACGACCGAUUUUUGAAAAAUGAUCGUUUAUAAAGAUUUUCGGUACUGAUUCGAUCGAUCAGCUGUUCUCUUCCUUCGAUUUUGAUCAAGUUCGUAGAUUCGAUUUAAUGCAAAAGUGAAUAGAAAAAGGAGAGAAGAUAUUAGAGAUAGAUAAGGACGAAAAGAGAAAGAGAAAAAGAGAGAGAAAACAAUUUGAUUAGAAAAGAAGAGUGUAAUAAAAAGUCGAGUGGGUGUGUGUG